UCUGCAGUCCUCACUUUUGCCUAGAUGGUAAUCAUUAUUUUUUAAAGGGCUCCAGUUGUUCGUAGAUUUAUAUAGAAUGAUCUCAACAAGAACUAAUUAAACAAAGGAGAGAGCCACAGUUGCAGUGAAGUACUAGCUACCCCUAGUGGUUAUUAUUGGAUUCAGCCCUUCUUCUCCUCCUACCCAACCUCCUGGGACAGGAAAAGUAUUAGACUUGAGGCCGAUUCAGAGAACCUGUCAUCAAAGCAAUGGUCCGACUUAACAUGGGCAUCGAGGAAAUACAGAGAAUAAUAAACAUCACAAAGCCAGUGCUCUUAUUGCCUCACACGAAGGACCUUGGAAACACAAACUGUAGGAAGAGGAAAAGCCCUGCGUUAAUUCUGAUUAAGCAGGGCUCAUGCCAUGUGCCUGAACAGAUUUAUGCCAUCAUUAUGAUCAUUAUGUUGCAGUUCUUUUUUCGUGGGAGGUUUGGAUCUCAUUUGUUGUGGAAGAGCCACAGUGGGCACGCUGCAGGUUAAAGAACAAGAGCUGGUGCCACCAUAAAGCAACUAGGCAGUCGCCUAGAACAGCAAAAUUUGAGAAUGGUAAGGCAAUUCGUGAAACUAUAGAAUUAAACAAGCAGGCUUCAGUAGUGGGAUAGAAAGGUUUGGAUCCACUGACACAUAUCCACAUAUACUGAGCUGCAUAUAGGUUUCUAUAUAUUUACAUUAGUCUUUACCACAAGUUCAUACUAUAUUCCUCACUCUAUGCAACUUUUAAAAUUUGUUCACCGAAAACACUGGUGAAUAUCAAAGAUUAUAAUUUAAUCUAGCCCACUAUAUCCUAAUGAUUAUUAAUUAUGCAAAUUAGUCAUAAUAUCAUCAAGCAAUCCAUGGUGCUAUUUCAUGUGCAUUGUCAUUUGUUUAUGAUGUGCAUUUCUUCCAUGACGUAACCUGUGAAAUAUGCAGCACAACGAGAAGG